rnacentral:rRNA from 1 species
CACGAUGGGGGCUAGCGUUGCUCGGAAUGACUGGGCGUAAAGGGCGCGAAGGCGGCUUACAUAGUUAGGCGUGAAAUUCCUGGGCUCAACCUGGGGACUGCGUCUAAUACAUGUAGGCUUGAGUGUGAAAGAGGGUCGUGGAAUUUCCAGUGUAGAGGUGAAAUUCGUAGAUAUUGGAAAGAACACCGGUGGCGAAGGCGGCGACCUGGUUCAUUACUGACGCUGAGGCGCGAAAGCGUGGGGAGCAAACAGG